rnacentral:rRNA from 1 species
UACGUAGGGUGCGAGCGUUAAUCGGAAUUACUGGGCGUAAAGCGUGCGCAGGCGGUUUUGUAAGCCCGAUGUGAAAUCCCCGGGCUUAACCUGGGAAUGGCAUUUGGGACUGCAAGGCUGGAGUGCGGCAGAGGAGACUGGAAUUCCCGGUGUAGCGGUGAAAUGCGUAGAUAUCGGGAGGAAUACCGAUGGCGAAGGCAGGUCUCUGGGCUGACACUGACGCUCAUGCACGAAAGCGUGGGGAGCAAACAGG